UUUUCGGCUAGGGAUGGGCCCGCGGCCUAUCAGCUUGUUGGUGAGGUAACGGCCCACCAAGGCGACGACGGGUAGCCGGCCUGAGAGGGCGACCGGCCACACUGGGACUGAGACACGGCCCAAACUCCUACGGGAGGCAGCAGUGGGGAAUAUUGCGCAAUGGGCGAAAGCCUGACGCAGCGACGCCGCGUGAGGGAUGAAGGCCUUCGGGUUGUAAACCUCUUUCAGCAGGGACGAAAACAGACGGUACCUGCAGAAGAAGCACCGGCCAACUACGUGCCAGCAGCCGCGGUAAUACGUAGGGUGCAAGCGUUGUCCGGAAUUAUUGGGCGUAAAGAGCUCGUAGGCGGUUUGUCGCGUCGGCUGUGAAAACUCGGGGCUCAACCCCGAGCCUGCAGUCGAUACGGGCAGACUAGAGUGCUGUAGGGGAGACUGGAAUUCCUGGUGUAGCGGUGAAAUGCGCAGAUAUCAGGAGGAACACCGGUGGCGAAGGCGGGUCUCUGGGCAGUAACUGACGCUGAGGAGCGAAAGCGUGGGGAGCAAACAGGAUUAGAUACCCUGGUAGUCCACGCCGUAAACGGUGGGUGCUAGGUGUGAGCGGUAUUCCACGCCGUUCGUGCCGCAGCUAACGCAUUAAGCACCCCGCCUGGGGAGUACGGCCGCAAGGCUAAAACUCAAAGGAAUUGACGG
rnacentral:rRNA from 1 species